CCUCGGGGUGCAGCAGUGGGGAAUAUUGGACAAUGGGCGAAAGCCUGAUCCAGCCAUGCCGCGUGUGUGAAGAAGGCCUUCGGGUUGUAAAGCACUUUCAGUGGGGAAGAAAGCCUUGGGGCUAAUACCCUCGAGGAAGGACAUCACCCACAGAAGAAGCACCGGCUAACUCCGUGCCAGCAGCCGCGGUAAUACGGAGGGUGCGAGCGUUAAUCGGAAUUACUGGGCGUAAAGCGCGCGUAGGCGGUCUGAUAAGCCGGUUGUGAAAGCCCCGGGCUCAACCUGGGAACGGCAUCCGGAACUGUCAGGCUAGAGUGCAGGAGAGGAAGGGAGAAUUCCCGGUGUAGCGGUGAAAUGCGUAGAGAUCGGGAGGAAUACCAGUGGCGAAGGCGGCCUUCUGGACUGACACUGACGCUGAGGUGCGAAAGCGUGGGUAGCAAACAGGAUUAGAUACCCCUGUAGUC
rnacentral:rRNA from 1 species